UUCAAGUGCUCAAACAGCCCAGGCGUAUGGGUCACCUGGCACCUCUGGAGGAGGGACGUGGCCCACAGAUGCCACUGUUUUUAAGAGGGCCUGCCCUGAUCUCGCCUAUGUCAAGGGUGACUAGAAGAAGGACGAAUCGGUCCUCUGUGUAGCUGUUUGCAAACGUGAAGAGACAAGGAAAACUACUGGAUGAACAGGGGUGUCUUGGGAAGAGACCUGCAGGAAGCUGCCCCAGCAGAGGCAGGCCACGGGUUUCAGUAACGCCAGAGGCUGAGAGAGGAAUUGGUCGAGGAAAGCUUGACUGCAAAACGUCAAUUCAUCCAGCAACCACUCACCA
rnacentral:lncRNA from 1 species